rnacentral:rRNA from 1 species
GAUGAACGCUAGCGGCAGGCCUAAUACAUGCAAGUCGAACGGUGUCUUCGGACAUAGUGGCGCACGGGUGCGUAACACGUAUGCAACCUACCUUACAUUGGGGGAUAGCCUUUCGAAAGGGAGAUUAAUACCGCAUAAGACAGUAGCUGGGCAUCCAGCAGCUGUUAAAGAUUUAUCGAUGUAAGCUGGGCAUGCGUCCAAUUAGCUAGUUGGUGAGGUAACGGCUCACCAAGGCAAUGAUUGGUAGGGGAACUGAGAGGUCAAUCCCCCACACUGGCACUGAGAUACGGGCCAGACUCCUACGGGAGGCAGCAGUAGGGAAUAUUGGGCAAUGGACGCAAGUCUGACCCAGCCAUGCCGCGUGCAGGAUGAAGGCGUUAUGCGUUGUAAACUGCUUUUAUACAGGAAGAAACGACUCUUGCGAGAAGCAUUGACGGUACUGUAUGAAUAAGCACCGGCUAACUCUGUGCCAGCAGCCGCCGUAACAC